AACGUAGGUGGCGAGCGUUAUCCGGAUUUACUGGGCGUAAAGCGUGCGCAGGCGGUUUUGUAAGCCAGAUGUGAAAGCCCCGGGCUUAACCUGGGAAUGGCAUUUGGGACUGCAAGGCUUGAGUGCGGCAGAGGAGACUGGAAUUCCUGGUGUAGCAGUGAAAUGCGUAGAUAUCAGGAGGAAUACCGAUGGCGAAGGCAGGUCUCUGGGCUGACACUGACGCUCAUGCACGAAAGCGUGGGGAGCAAACAGG
rnacentral:rRNA from 1 species